GACAGAGGGUGCAAACGUUGUUCGGAAUUACUGGGCGUAAAGCGCGUGUAGGCGGCUAAGUAAGGCGGGCGUGAAAUCCCACGGCUCAACCGUGGAAGUGCACUCGAAACUGCAUAGCUAGAGUCCUGGAGAGGAAGGUGGAAUGCUUGGUGUAGAGGUGAAAUUCGUAGAUAUCAAGCGGAACACCGGUGGCGAAGGCGGCCUUCUGGACAGUGACUGACGCUGAGACGCGAAAGCGUGGGGAGCAAACAGG
rnacentral:rRNA from 1 species